GGGGAAUAUUGCGCAAUGGGCGAAAGCCUGACGCAGCAACGCCGCGUGGGGGAUGAAGGCUCUCGGGUUGUAAACUCCUUUCAGCAGGGACGAAAUUGACGGUACCUGCAGAAGAAGCCCCGGCCAACUACGUGCCAGCAGCCGCGGUAAGACAGAGGAGCCAAGCGUUGUCCGGAGUGACUGGGCGUAAAGCGCACGCAGGCGGUCGUGCACGUGGGGUGUGAAAGCUCUCGGCUUAACUGAGAGAGGUCACCUCAUACGGCGCGGCUCGAGCCCUGCAGAGGUCCACGGAAUUGCCGGUGUAGUGGUGAAAUGCGUAGAGAUCGGCAGGAACACCCAGGGGGAAACCAGUGGACUGGGCAGGGGCUGACGCUCAGGUGCGAAAGCGUGGGGAGCGAA
rnacentral:rRNA from 1 species